AUGUAUCACACGUGCAAAAUUUGGGAGCGUGUUUUCCCUUACUUUGUUCGUGUCAACAAACAAUUCGAAAUACCUCAACUUUUUCAGAACAGGUCCGAGUCAAAUAGCAAUGAUUCGAAGCACUUCUUUUUCCAUUACACUAUUUUGGAAACCUAA
rnacentral:rRNA from 1 species